CCUACGGGAGGCUGCAGUGGGGAAUAUUGCACAAUGGGCGCAAGCCUGAUGCAGCCAUGCCGCGUGUGUGAAGAAGGCCUUCGGGUUGUAAAGCACUUUCAGCGGGGAGGAAGGCGGUGAGGUUAAUAACCUCAUCGAUUGACGUUACCCGCAGAAGAAGCACCGGCUAACUCCGUGCCAGCAGCCGCGGUAAUACGGAGGGUGCAAGCGCUAAUCGGAAUUACUGGGCGUAAAGCGCACGCAGGCGGUCUGUCAAGUCGGAUGUGAAAUCCCCGGGCUCAACCUGGGAACUGCAUUCGAAACUGGCAGGCUAGAGUCUUGUAGAGGGGGGUAGAAUUCCAGGUGUAGCGGUGAAAUGCGUAGAGAUCUGGAGGAAUACCGGUGGCGAAGGCGGCCCCCUGGACAAAGACUGACGCUCAGGUGCGAAAGCGUGGGAGCAAACAGGAUUAGAUACCCGUGUAGUC
rnacentral:rRNA from 1 species